CUGGCGGCGUGCCUAACACAUGCAAGUCGAACGCGAAAGCCCGAAAGGGUUAGUAGAGUGGCGAACUGGUGCAUAACGCGUGGGAAACUGCCCUAUAGUGAAGGAUACCUUCGAGAAAUCGGAGCUAAUACUGCAUAAGCCCAGAAAUGGGGAAAAACGGCCUAAUAGCUGUUGCUAGAGGAUGUGCCUGCGUACUAUUAGCUAGUUGGUGAGGUAAUGGCUCACCAAGGCUUAGAUGGUUAGCCGGCCUGAGAGGGUGUACGGCCACAUUGGGACUGAGAUACGGCCCAGACUCCUACGGGAGGCAGCAGUGGGGAAUAUUGCACAAUGGACGAAAGUCUGAUGCAGCGACGCCGCGUGGAGGAUGAAGGUUUUCGGAUUGUAAACUCCUGUUGAGUGGGAAGAAAGGCGACUACCUAAUACGUAGUUGAGAUGACGGUACCACUAUAGAAAGCACCGGCAAACUUCGUGCCAGCAGCCGCGGUAAUACGAAGGGUGCAAGCGUUAUUCGGAGUUACUGGGCAUAAAGAGCGCGUAGGCGGUUUUUUAAGUCAUUUGUUAAAUCUCCCGGCUUAACCGGGAACAUGCAGGUGAAACUGGAAGACUAGAGUGUAAGAGAGAGAAGUGGAAUUCUCGGAGUAGCGGUAAAAUGCGUAGAUCUCGAGAGGAACACCGGAGGCGAAGGCGGCUUCUUGGCUUACAACUGACGCUCAAGUGCGAAAGCGUGGGGAGCAAACAGGAUUAGAUACCCUGGUAGUCC
rnacentral:rRNA from 1 species